UAAAAUGGCCAAUCAGGUGGGCGGCAUCAG
rnacentral:piRNA from 1 species